rnacentral:rRNA from 1 species
GAACGCUGGCGGCAUGCCUUACACAUGCAAGUCGAACGGCAGCGGGGGGAGCUUGCUCCCUGAUGGCGAGUGGCGGACGGGUGAGUAACACGUAGGAAUCUACCUUAAUUAUAAUAGUUAGUGGGGGAUAACCCGGGGAAACUCGGGCUAAUACCGCAUAAUCUCUUCAAAGCAAAGCGGGGGAUCUUCGGACCUCGUGCUAUGAGAUGAGCCUGCGUCGGAUUAGCUAGUUGGUAGGGUAAUGGCCUACCAAGGCGACGAUCCGUAGCUGGUCUGAGAGGACGAUCAGCCACACUGGGACUGAGACACGGCC